GCCGGAGUGGUGGAAUUGGUAGACACGCUAGCCCUAGGAGCUAGUGGGGAAACCUGUGGGAGUUCGAGUCUCCCCUCCGGCA
rnacentral:tRNA from 7 species